CUAGGAGGAAAUGAGGGGUAAGAU
rnacentral:miRNA from 2 species